rnacentral:rRNA from 1 species
AUUGAACGCUGGCGGCAGGCCUAACACAUGCAAGUCGAGCGGAUGACGGGAGCUUGCUCCUUGAUUCAGCGGCGGACGGGUGAGUAAUGCCUAGGAAUCUGCCUGGUAGUGGGGGACAACGUUUCGAAAGGAACGCUAAUACCGCAUACGUCCUACGGGAGAAAGCAGGGGACCUUCGGGCCUUGCGCUAUCAGAUGAGCCUAGGUCGGAUUAGCUAGUUGGUGAGGUAAUGGCUCACCAAGGCGACGAUCCGUAAAUGGUCUGAGAGGAUGAUCAGUCACACUAGAACUAAGACAAGGUCAACACGCGUACGGUAGGCAGCAUUUGGGAAUAUUGUACAAUGGGUGAAAGCCUGAGCCAGCCUUGCCGCGUGUGUGAAGAAGGUCUUCGGAUUGUAAAGCACUUUACGUUGGGAGGAAGAGCAGUAAGUUAAUACCUUGCUGUUUUGACGUUACCGACAGAAUAAGCACCGGCUAACUCUGUGCCAGCCGCCGCCGUAACAC